UUAACGAAGAAAACAAAAGAUGUAAUUUCUGAACAUAGAAAUAUAACGGAGAGGUAGCAAAUGGUCAAAACUAUCAUACAUUUGCUUUCUCCCUCAUUCCAAUUGUGUUAGAUUGAAUUGAGUACAAUAACAUUUAAACGAAUUACCAUAACAUUUAGACAAACAUAUUACAAGAUCAGCGCCAGCCUCUAAUGCCUUGUUGGAU
rnacentral:misc_RNA from 1 species